rnacentral:lncRNA from 1 species
ACUCCCCCACUCUUCCACUUCUCUCUCAACUCCCCAAACCCUAAAGCCCCCAUCUCUCUCCCUUCUCUCUUCCCCAUUUCCGCCGCCACCCUUCCCCAUCGCGGCGCCGCCCGCCGGAAAUCUCUACCGGCGGCGGCCAACCUCCAAAAGAAAUCCAAAAUAACUUCAUUCUUCUCCUCUUCUCCUCCUCUACCUCACCCCACCAACUAAACCCAUAAAAAACCAACCCCCCGAAAAUCGAAAAGUGACCGAAACUCCACCACCACCACUACUCCGCCGCCGGAAAUCGCCCAAGGCGGCGGUGAAACUCCAAAACAAAUCAAACUCACAACAUACACUCCUCUCAUCCUCCUAAACCUCAUACUACCAACCAAAUCUACAAAAACCUAAUCAAAAUCUGUAGAUCUUAGAUCUAUAAAGGCCAAAACUCUAGAUCUAACCCCUUACCAUUUNNNNNNNNNNNNNNNNNNNNNNNNNNNNNNNNNNNNNNNNNNNNNNNNNNNNNNNNNNNNNNNNNNNNNNNNNNNNNNNNNNNNNNNNNNNNNNNNNNNNNNNNNNNNNNNNNNNNNNNNNNNNNNNNNNNNNNNNNNNNNNNNNNNNNNNNNNNNNNNNNNNNNNNNNNNNNNNNNNNNNNNNNNNNNNNNNNNNAGUAUCUUAGAUCCAAGAUGGGAGUCUUGGCUUGAGGGGUUUUUCACGUUUAGACCCAUUUAAUUUUGUUAUUUUUAUUUUUAUUUACUCAUUUUUAUUUAUUUAUGAUAUUUUCGUAUUUAUUUUUAUUCCCGCAUUUUUAUUCUAUUUUUUUUAUUAUUUACGCGUUCUGUUUUUUUAUUUCUGUUAUUUAUUUUUAACGCAUUUCUGUAUUUAUUUUGUUAAUUAUCAUGUUUAGUUAUUUCUGUUAUAAUUAAUUGAUUAAAACUAGAUUUAAUUGAAAAUAUAUAUAAAGUUAGUAUAAUAUAUUAUGUUAGUUAUAGAUUAUUAUGUAGUUGUCACUUUGAUUGUUAGUUAAUUAAACAGAUUAAUCAAAAAAAAUUUAAAAAAAGAGUAAAAUAUAAAAUAAAAAAGUGCUUCAUUUCUUCCUUAGUGUUUCAUUUUUGUUAUUGUUGUUAAUUUUUUGGGCCUAGCUAAAUUGACAGGCACAUAGCUUUGUUAUUAUUUAUUUAUUUAUUUUCGUGUUAAAAUUGGGUCUGGCUAAACGGACAAGCCCAUAGCUUUGUUAAAGUUUAAGAGCCCAUGCUCUUUAGGCCAAGAGUCAUCUGACUCAGGCCCUAAACCAAUCCGGUUUUGAUGUAAUUCCAAGACCCUUAAGGGUCAAUUUUGGAAACCUAAAUUCUAAAAAUCAUUUAGAAAGUGCUAGACUAUCUAGAAUAGGGACAACUGUCCUAAUGCUGACUAGGAAAAAGGAUAAGAUCUAAAAAAUAUCCGGAAAUAGGACACUUGUCCAUUUUCUGAGAUAAGAAAGGUACUAAAAAUUGGACAGCUGUCCAUUUCUGUAAAGAGGAUGCCAUUUUCUCUAAUUUAUAGGGAAUUCUGACAGAUUUUUUGGACCUGAAUUCUGAUCCCAUUCUAUAAAUACACUCCUUCUUUUCAUUAUACACAGGGCUGGAUAUACAAUUUGGACCUAAAAAUAUACUGAUUCUGCACUACUUUGGAGUUUCUUUCUUUCACUAUUAGCAAAGAACUCCUACUGGUUUUUCACUCUCUCUUCUGGAUUUCUAGAUUUUUGGAAGCUGGUUUUGGUUUUCUAUUUGGGUUUGCUACUGUUUCUCACUCAACUUUUUAGAGACCUAUUUUCUUUCUAUUUGUUUUCUUGCUGCUGUCAAGGUACUUUUCUUAUCAAAAAGUGUAAAGUUUCAUUCUUUUGCUAAAUCAUGAUAGGAAUUUGUGUAUAAAUCUGCAAUUAUUUUGAAUAUUGCAUGAACCAUGUUAGUUUGAAGCUUGUUUGUUUGUUAUGUUGUAAAUUUGUUUACAAUGUUUUAGGCAAAUGUAUUAGUUUAAAAGUAUUCUGAAAAUUACAGAAUCUGCUUAAAGAUUCAUACAUUUAUAAAGUUUGUAUGUUCAUAUGUAGUAGUAUCACAUAAAUCAUUUUCCAAAAAUUCAGUUAGAAUAGCAAUAGGCAGUAUUAUUCAGUUAGCAAAAAAUGUAAUAAUUUUACUGCAUUUUCUUGUGUGUUAAACCAGCUUAAUAGAUUAGUAAUUUACCACACUAUUUUUAAUAGUUGAAUAAUGCUGAAUUAUUAUUAGCUUAAAGUUAUAAAAAUUAGAUUUUUAGAAAGUAACUAAGUGAUAACCAUAAUACAUUUUCAGGCCCAAAGCCAAUUUGGUUUAUGAAUUUGUGUUCUGAUUUUUACAAAAACAAAAUGAGUUGAUCAAUAGAAUUUGCACUUAAAGAUUUUUGAAAUACAAAUAAGCUUCAAAAUCAGCAUUUCGAAAAAUAUAGACUUAGGCAAAUUAGUAGGAAGAUUGUCUAAAAUUUAACAGAUUUUGAUUUAUUCAAAACCCUUUUACUUUUCUGUUUCAAAAGAUAAACAAAAGUAUAGUUAAAAUCCUGCAUUUUGUCAUUAGGAAUAUUAAUUUCAAAUUUUCUUCAAAUAUGUGUUGGACUAGAGUUCACUUAGACUCAUUAUUAAGUUUAUUUAUUUGUCCACAAAUAGAUUUUGGGCCAGAGUUACUUGUACUCAUUAGUAGGCCCAAAUCUUCUUGAAUGCAUUACAUUUAAAUUGAUUAAUUGCUUAAUAAUUUAUUUGGGCUAGAUCCAUCUGAAUAAGUCAGGCCCAGGUUCUUUUAGAAUUAAUUUAGUUGUUUAAUGAUAGACAAUACAUUUCUUGGGUUAGAGUUCAUUUGGACUCAACCAUUGUCAGGCCCAAACUUCAAAAUCUGGGCUUAUUUGGCAUUUAAUAAAUAAAGUUUUCACUUUUAAUUAAAAUAGGUAUCUCAUGUAUUAUUGUGUACCUUUACACCUAGCUACAUGAUGUAGAAUAGUUUAGAGAUAUAAUCACAUUUUUAGGUACACUUCAAAAUUACGCCUUAAUCAAAUACUCGUAGAAAUGCUUUAGGCGAGAUUAAUUAACUAUCUUGGCUAUGAGUACGGUUCUCGUGGCAUAGUCAUGGUACAUAAUCCUCAAUUCGGGUGUGCAUUUCAUGUAACCCGAUUAUAACAACUUCGAAUAUUAAUAAAAUACACAUGUCGUGAAUCGCGGGUACAUUUCAUGUAGCGUGGUUUGCGGCGUGUUCCAAAACAAACAAGUGUACGACAAUCGUAACUUGUUCAAGAAAUAAUUCCAUAAAUCCUAAAAGCGGUUAAAAUAAUUAAAAGGCGAUUAUAAAGCUAAAAAUGCACAAUAGGUUUAAAACAUGUAGUAAAUCAGAUAAUAGGCUAAUAUUAAUAGUUUAAGCGACCGUGCUAGAACCACAAAACCUGGGAAUCCCUAAAACCUUCUUCUGAAUUAACAAAAUUCCUUACUUUUUUUUUGAUCCGCUAGGCAAUCGCCUAGGGCUAAUUUUUAUAACCAAUAAAAUCAUAAAUAAAAUACAUUGUCCGGGGGUCUAACAUAAUGAAAUAGAUAAACUUUGACGGUUACAUGAAACCUAUUAUCAAUAUUGAGUUUGAAAGUCAACAUUGAUAUUACAUUAGGUCUAGCAAUAGCCAAGUGUUUAAAAUGUAGUUGUACACAGUGAGCGUCCCAUGAUAGAGUGUAUUUCGAUUUUGUUAAAUAUAUGGAAAAUAUAUCCAAAGUCCAAUAUUCAGUCCAGAUUGUCUUUAACUGCAUCUUGUACCUGUCGCUGCACUUGCAAUAAUAGCGUAACUCAUUGUGUAUUUGUGUGAACCAUUGAUUGCCAUAAAAGUGUAUGUCUUGUUCCAUUAUUGACUGCAUAUUACCCCAUUGUGUCUCAAAUUCUUCCUGCAUCGAAGGUUGCCAUGUUGAUUCCUUCUUGAAGAACUGUUGAGCUGUUUGAACAGCAUUGUUGCUCCAUCCAAGCCUUUUUUUUAUUAAAGAAAGCCUAUUACAGAUGAUUUCUGCGUAGGCAUGCAUUAGCUUGAGGUGCUCAUAAUGAUUCCUUGUUGUGCAAAAUUUCCAGCACCUCGAAAAUACAAGAAGUUUUCCUUUUUUUAGUUUUCCAUGGGUAAUUGUAAUGGCCCAUGCUUUGUCCCAAACUUUAGGUGUGCACAAAACACUACCCAAUGUUCCUUUAUUUAAAGUCCCAAGUCUCAUGAAUCCUUUGUGGCCCCAUGCUCUUGGCAUGUGCAACCAUGCUUCUAAGCUUUUUACUCAUAUCGAGUACUUAUCCUCGAUCCCCUCCCUUUGUUUAACACACUUCCAGUCAAGAGAGUGCAUUGGAUUUGUGUAGGUUGUUGCGUUUGAAAAGUUCUUUAUGAUGAACUUUAAUAAAGCUUCAUUAUUUCCAGACACAACCUGCUGCCAGAACCAUGUGAUGCACUUUGUAUCCUUCUGUUGUAUUCCUAAAGACUGGUUCCCUGUAUAUGCAUUUUGUUUCAUGUUGUAUAUUGAAGAUAUCCACCUACAGGUCACUUCUGCAGCAUUAUGGAUGUUGGGUUCAUCAGUGAUUCUACUACAUUUGACCUCGAUGUCAUGUGUCCAUCCUUUGUGUGUUGUUGAGUUCCCUACACUAUUGGAUACUUCAUGUGCUCGACUAUGAUGCUGCAUUGAUGAAUUAUUCCUCUUAGCCUUCUGUUUUUCUUUAAUGGAUUGCCAUUUCAAAUAAUUGAUUUUCCUCAAGCUUAUGCAUAUCACCUUUCCUCCUUCAAGGGAUUGAGCACAAAGUACUAAUACCACCCAUAGAAGUUGUAUUAAGUGACAUGGCUUGAGCACAGUAUCGAUUCCUACAAAAAAGAACCCAAGGUUAGUAAAAUAACAUUUUUCGACUUCCUUUCCUCCCCUAGGAUUUGAAAUCAUCCCCUUUGCUCUUGUGUUGACCUCUCCUUCUACUGCCUCGAAGCCUUUACUCUGAGAAAUGGACAUUGCAUUUUGUCUACAUUAACAAGUCUUCUGCCUUGUGUAUCCAGAUGAUUAAAAGAGUGACAUUCUAUGACUCCUUGAACAAGAGCAUAGUUUGCCAAAUGAUCAGCUAGCUUGUUCCCCUCUCUAAAAAUAUGUGUUAUCCUGCCAUUGCACAACAUUAGCAUCUUCCUUAUCUCUUUCACUUCCUCCGCAAUAACCCAUGGUGGUUUCCACUCCCUUGUGAUGACCUUCUUGAGCAGCAUAGAAUUAGUUUCUACCCAUAUGUUAUUCAUCUCAUUAGUCAAACAAUGUUUCAGGGCCUCAAAAAUUGCCCUUGUUUCUGCUUGAGUGUUUGUCACCUCUUGAAUUUCUUUUCCACACGCAUAGACCAGAUCUCCUUCCUCAUUCCUCAAGCAAAAGCCAAUUGAACUCCUACCUGGAUUACCUUUCGAGGCCCCAUCAGUGUUAAUUUUUGUCCAACCUGUCAUAGGGAGUUCCCAUAAAACCUUGUUGAACUUCAGUUUGGGAGUGUAGUUCUCCAUCAUUCUAAGUAUAUCAGGCCAUUUGAAUGGUACUCACUCAAUGCCUGACUUCCUUAGUUUAAUAAGAGAUUGAAUAGUAUUGCAGACUUGGUAUACCACUCGAUUGGUUGACACUGCCUCACCACCCAAGUCGCCGGUUUAUUUUAAAAUCCCAAAUCGAGGAUUUCCUAAAAGACCAUCCUGUUGCAUUUUACUUACGACUUGUACAUUUAUUUUUUUUUGGAUUGCAUGUUGACCGGCUUCUAGAAUAAGGGAAAAAAUUUGGAAAAAUCAAAUUAAGGUAUUAGAGAGAAAAUUACCCGUCUUUGGAAAAUCUGGUAUCCAAAAAGUACCGAAACUCUACCGAAAUUUUGAAAAAAAAAAAGAGAAAAGGAAAGGAGAAAAAAGGAAAAUUGUUUCAAAAAAAAUAUAUUUGGUGUUAUUUUUUGUUGUGUCAAAAUUGCCCAAACUACGCAAGUUUGAUUCUCACCAGAUGUGGGAUACGUAGGCAACCCUCACCAGUUCCAACUCCAUUUUCUACAAAAAUAACCCAAAAUAUGAAAUGUGUUUAUUCUAUCAUAAUUAAAACUAGGUGAUGACGUUCUUCUCUAAAUAGUCAAAAUAUCCCCAAAAGGGCGGCGGAAGGCUAUUUUUGCAAGAAUAGCCACCUAUGGUCCUUUUUAAAUUUUUGGCCAUUUAGCGAACACAACCCUAAAAUCUUCUCUCCUGAGGUGCUAAAGGGCCGUAUUUGCAAAGGUGUUUUUUUUUUUGAAUUGCGAUUUUGAGAAAUUGAUAAUCUUCUUCUGAGUCAAAUAAAUCAGGGUCUUUUAACCGAUCACUUUAAAUAAAUGUGCAGGAUGAGCACUAUUGAAAAUGAACCCUUCACAGUCCUCGAGAAAAUCUUGUUCGAACUCCAUAUAUGGUGGAAUGACUUAAGGGAAGUCAGUAGAGGUGCUGCGGUAAAAGCUUUGGGCGGUCUCAUUGGUCUUUGGAAGAUUAAACUGAGGUUGGAAAUAAUUGAGGCUUUAAUACCUUUUUGGGAUCCGACACAUAAUGUAUUCCAUUUCUCUGAUUUUGAGCUAACCCCUACACUUGAGAAAAUAGUGGGAUAUGCUGGUCUUAGUGGGAAUCUCAGGAAUCGGUACCCAGUGGCACCAAGGGCAGUGACUCCUCACAAGUUUCUGGACCUUCUGAGUAUCAGUCAGGAAGUCAAAGAUGGAAAUUUGGCUGAGGGAUUUUGCACAUUCUACUUCGUGUACAGUCAUUUUGGGGAUCCCCGCGAUUUUGAGGCUCCAGAUACUAGUCUAACUCAUUCAGGAAACAAAGGCAAGUGGGAAGCACGUCGGGGACUGGCCUUCAUAGUGGUAUUCUUAGGCACCUUAAUAUGCCUGAGGAAGGAUGGAUGUAUAGAGUUGGGGCUCGUAGGAAUGGCCGACUUCAUGAUUAAAAAGGCUAAUGGCACCAUUGUACCGAUGAUCCUAGCAGAGAUUUAUCGAGCUCUAACUAUUUGUCGAGCAGGGGGAAAUUUUUUUGAGGGUUAGAACAUGCUUUUAUAACUUUGGAUGGAAGAACACCUUUGCCAUCGUCUGGGGUACAUGAACUAUGGUAUGACCGGUCUUAACUGCAUUGAAGAACAUGAAAAUCGGAUGGAGGUUCAUAAGUUUCCAGAAGGUACAGAGGCAUGGUUCGCACAUUUGAGUUCUUUAACUACGAGCAGAAUUGAGUGGACAUUCGGUUGGCUCCCGGUCACUGAAGUCAUUUAUAUGUCGGCCGAAGUAUGUUUUCUUCUAUUGAUGGGUCUUCGGAGCAUUCAACCAUAUGCUCCACACAGGGUUCUGCACCAGCUAGGCCGGUACCAAACUAUCCCUCAUGAUGAAGAUUUAAGUCAACAAGUCAUUGAACUAGGUCCAAAAGCUGCAUUCUCGGAAGAAAGGGUUCGCCAAAUUUGGCAUUAGUAUAGGUUCUUGGAGCCACAGACUCGGGUACGGGAUUUGGCCAAAGGCAAAUUAGAGCCUAGUUAUACGGCCUGGUAUGGUAAAAGGUUUCAAGUCCAUCAAGAGCCUGAACGGCCCGCCAAAAGGCCCCAUGUCCAACAGUUCACUGUUGGAGCCAAAGAGCAAUGGGAUUGGUUGGAAAAAGAGACAAGAUACAAGGCCAAGAUAAGAAAAUUGGAGGGGCAAAUCAGAGAUCUAAAAUUUGAUAGUAGUGUACAGGCUACUGCUAAUGAAGGGGAGAAGAAAAACCUGGCCCAAGAAAAUAAAGCCCUUCGAGCCCAGAUCCAAAAAAUGAAGAUAGCUGCUGAGAAUCAGGAAAGGAGCCGAACGGAUGAAAGACUCAUAAACGGUCUUAGGAGGAAAAUAUCUGAGCACAAGGAUGAUUUGGAAACAUUCGAGGGUAGUCUGGUUAGAGCCCGGGCACAGUUGGCGAAGAAUGCAGAGGAAUGGGCAGAGUUCGCCCGACAAUUGAAAAGGAAAUAUGAUGGAGAAGUCACAAACCUGAAGAAAAAGCUAACUACCCUCGAGAAUGAGAUGGCCGAACAAACAAAGAACUUUAAAGCAGAGAGGGAACAUUUUUAUGCACUAAUGUCUCAGCUAGAAGAGGAUGUGCAACAGUUGCAGGAUCAUAGCCAUCAUCACACCCAAGUGCUAGAAGCCAGGUCUCAAAAAAUUGGACGUUUGCUCCAAGAGAAUGGCAUCAUUAGGGAAAGGAUUAGAGCAAUUGCUAACUACAUCCUCAUGAAAUGCCAUGAAUGUGAGGACAUGACUAGAGCCACCUUCUUCGCCACAGUGAUGACCUUUGUUCGCCAAAUAAUGAAUGACCUGGAUCUCCUCCAAGGAGAUCUUGGACAUAGGCCCGUGGCGAGACCGACUGAUGUCCCACGGGCCCCUGGAGUAGUUUUGAAAGCACUUAUGUACUCUUGAUAUUCGUUUUGAGUCUGUAUUUCAGUUUCCAGUUCUAGAGCAUAUUUCGAGUCUGUUUUUAGUUUUUCAAUUCCUAGAAAGACAUGAUGGAGUCCUUGUAAUAGAAAAAUUAGAAGUUUUCAUUUUUAAUGAAAAUAUAGAAAAAACCAAAUUGUUUUUUCCUUUUAUUUCCGCAUUUAUUCCUUGAACUACAUGAUGAUCUGAUUCACGCAGCGUCAUAAUGCGUAUGCAAUCCCCAUCAGAUCCGAUCAUAGUUUUAAAUAACUCAAAUAAAAGAGAAAAUGACGAAAAGAGAAAACCAAAAGAAAAAAGAAAAGAAGAAAAGAAAGAGAAAACAAGAAAAAGAGAACGAAAACAAGAGAGAAAAUAAUGAGAGAGUGCAAAAGAGAGAAAGAGAAAGAUUGGGGAGAUAAACAAAAGAUAGGAUGGUACAUGCAAUCAUUACAAAACAUGUAGAAACACAUUUAACUGAUAGGUGCAUCACACCCCCCAAUGUGUGAUUCCCUAUGUGUUAAUUGCCUCGAACUAACUGGUUUGUUGUGUCUGUUGUUGAGUUUAGGUUCUGUUUUAAGGUGGUUGGUUUUGUGGUAACCUGGCUUCGCACCCUUACUUUACAAGAUCCAAGGGAAGUAUCGAAAUGUCAUCAGAAAGUCAUCUACCAACAAUUCCCAUCCUAGAGGAUAGCCCGAUAUCGAUUAUCCCAACCUCAGAGUCAGUGGCUGCUGAAGAGAAUAGGGCACUGCGCCUCCGCAUGUUGGAAAUGUGGGACGCUUGGUCCAAUGGUAGAGAGCCGCCUAGUGCAAUACCUGGUUUCCCCAAGCUACUUCCCAGAGCAAGUGGAACUUCUAGCAUCCUAAUAAGUUACCUCGAACACCCCACUUAGAUACUGUGGGGUUGAUAUAGACCCCACAGUAUCAAAAGUUCAAAUGAGCAUCAAAAGUGUUGAUAAAGACCCUCAAUGAAGCAUAUGUUCCGAUUGAAACCACUGUUGAACAAUUGGAAAGGAUGGCAGAACGAUUCUUUGAAGUCAACCGAAUAUCAUUUAGCAGAAAUGACCUGCCCCCGGAAGGGGCUGCCAACAACAAAGCUCUUUAUUUGAUUUUAAAGUGUGAAGGAUACUACGUGAAAAAAGUCAUGUUGGAUGGCGGAUCUGGGGUUGACAUAUGCCCUCUCUCAACUUUGCAAAGAAUGGAAAUUGGGACUGAGAGAAUUCAGCCCAACAAUGUUUGUGUACGUGCAUUUGACGGCAUCAAGAGAGACACAAUAGGGGAGAUUGAUUCGAUCUUAACUAUUGGUCAUGUGGAUUUUGAAGUGACAUUUCAGGUCUUGGACAUGGACACCUCCUACAAUUUUCUCCUAGGAAGGCCUUGGAUCCAUGCGCCAGGGGCUGUACCUUAUACUCUACACCAAAUGGAUAAGUUUGAACACAAAGAUCAAGAAAUUAUUGUCCAUGGAGAAGAUGAGCAAUCAAUUUAUAGGGACCCGCCAGUCCCAUGUCUGGAGGCUAAAUAAUGUAGCGAGUACAUAGUUUCCCAAGCUUUUGAGAUUGAGGUCACAGACCAAUGUGAGGAAGGAACUCCGUGUCCUAAACCCUUUUUGUCCAAUGCAUCAAUCAUGGUUUCCAAUGAGAUGAUCAGGCAUGGCUACAAGCCUGGGAAAGGGCUCGAGGCAUCUUUGCAAGGCAUUACAGCGCCCAGCACCUUGACUGUCAGUAAGAACUUCUUUGGUGUCAGUUUCCAAGCUAUAGAAGCCGACGUGAAAUGGGCUAAAGAACAUAAGAACGACGGGUGGGUUUUACCUCAGCCGGUCCCACAUCUCGCCAGAACUUUUGUUAAACCAGGGUACAUAGAGGAAGAAGAUGAGGCCUUCACCACCGAAGAAAUUGAGGACAUCUAUGGGUCAUGAGGCAAAUGUUGUAUGAGACUCACAUGGUCCAGCCGGGAGAAUUCUCAAGCACUGCUGAGGUGCAAUAUAUAGGGCCCGAUGCCAAGCUACAAAACUGGAAGGCUACUCCGUUCCCAGUCAGGCAGGAAUCCCGAUAGUCCAGUCUUGCCACCUUUUUUGCAUUCCGAGUUAUUUCAAGGAGUAACUCAAAUGUUUAUUUAGUUUAUUGUUUUUAAAAUUCCAAUGUAAACCCUUCUAUCUUCAAAUUCAAUGAAAUGAAAUCAAUAUUUCAUCAUCUAUGAUCCUCUUUCUUUAUUCUUUCUGAUUUUUGUUAUUUUUCUUAUUUCUUAUUUCAGUUCUAAUAAUGCGGACUUAAAUAACAUGACAUGCUUGCGGACUUCAUGCCCAGAUCCUAACAUGCUGUCUCAUUGUGAAAUAAUGAAUCAAGAACCGGAAUACGAUGAAAAUGAGUCUUUUAGGGAAAUAAAUCAAGAAUUAGAACAAUUUGAGAAUAAGCCUAAGCCAAAAUUAAACGAAACUGAGCUAGUUAAUUUGGGUAGUUCAGAAGAGGUCCAAGAAACCAUGAUAAGCAUUCACACUGAUGAAAGAACUAGGGAUGCAUUGAUCCAACUUUUGUUCCAAUUCAAAGACGUGUUUUCCUGGUCCUAUGAUGACAUGCCAGGACUUAGUGUUGAUUUAGUGGUACAUAAAUUACCAACUUACCCUGGUUAUCACCCUAUCCAAUAAAAGCAGAGAAAGUUUAAAACGGAUAUCAGUGACAAUAUUAAAGAAAAAGUCACCAAACAACUGAAAGCGAGUGUAAUCUGAGUGGUCUAAUACACCACAUGGUUGGACAAUGUGGUCCUAGUGCAAAAGAAAGACGGGAAAACCCGAGUGUGUGUUGACUAUCAAAAUUUAAACAAAGUAAUCCCCAAGGACAACUUGUCUUUGCCAAACAUCCACAUUUUUUUGACAACUGUUCCAAAUAUGAGAUACAGUCUUUCAUGGAUUGUUAUGCUGGAUAUCAUCACGUCUUGAUGGAUGAAGAAGAUGCGUAAAAGAUGACUUUCACCACCCCUUGGAGCACUUAUUGUUACAGAGUCAUGCCUUUUCGUUUGUAGAACGCCGGGGCAACUUACAUAAGAGCUAUGACUGCCAUCUUUCAUGACAUGAUGCACCAAAAAAUCGAGGUGUAUAUGGACGAUGUGAUCAUCAAAUCAAGAAUGCAGGACGACUAUAUUCGGGAUCUGAAAAAGUUCUUUGAGCAUCUGCGUAAGUAUGACUUAAAGUUAAAUCCAGGUAAGUGUGCAUUUGGAGUACCAUCUGGGAAACUUUUGGGGUUUGUAGUUAGUCGGAGGGGCAUCGAGUUAGAUCCAAUAAAUAUAAAGUCUAUUCGGAAUUUGCCCCCUCCAAGAACCAAGAAAGAGGUUACGAGUCUAUUGGGUAGGUUGAAUUACAUCAGCAGAUUCAUUGCUCAGUUGACUUCCACGUGUGAACCCAUAUUUAAGCUAUUAAAGAAAGAUGCUGUGAUUAGAUGGACAGAUGAGUGUCAAGAAGCCUUUGAUUUGUCGAAUCCGCCGGUCUUGGUCCCACCCAAAACUGGGAGGCCUUUGUUUUUAUAUUUGACAGUCUUGGAGAAUUACUUUGGAUGUGUUCUCGAGCAACAUGAUAUGACCGGUAAGAAAGAACAUGUCAUCUACUAUUUGAGCAAGAAGUUCACUAGUUAUGAAGCCAAAUACACUUUGUUGGAAAGAACUUGAUGUGCCCUGACUUGGGUUGCUCAGAAGCUUAGGCAUUACUUGUUGGCUUAUACCACUUACCUCAUAACCAGGUUAGACCCUUUGAAAUACAUAUUCCAAAAGCCGAUGCCCACAGGAAGGUUAGCAAAAUGGCAAAUCCUGCUCACCGAGUUCGACGUAGUCUAUGUCAUCUACACGACAAUGAAAGCUCAAGCUUUAGCGGAUCACCUAGGUGAGAAUCUUGUUGAUGAUAAAUAUCAAGUACUUACUUUCCGGAUGAGGAAGUAAAUUCAGUCGAGGUAAUUUCAGAAGACACCAAUGCUUGGAAAAUGUUCUUCGAUGGAGCUAUGAAUGCAAAAGGUGUCGGAAUUGGGACAAUUUUGAUCUCACCCACCAGUCAGCACUAUCCGACCACAGCCCGACUUCAAUUUUUUUGCAGCAACAACACUACCGAGUAUGAAGCCUACAUUAUGGGCAUGAACAUGGAAAUCGAUCAAGAUGUAGAAGAAUUGUUAAUCAUGGGAGAUUCGGACUUGAUUAUCUGACAAGCUUAGGGAGAAUGGGAAACUCGGGAUGUUAAGCUUAUUCCAUAUAGGCAACACGUGGAAGAUCUUAGCAAACGGUUCAAGUCCGUCGAGUUCAGGUACAUUCCUAUGUUUCACAAUGAGUUAGCUGAUGCACUAGCUAAUUUGUCUUCGAUGUUGCCAUAUCCAGGAAAUGUCCACAUUGAUCCACUGGAAAUCCAAAUUCGAGAAAGGCAUGGUUACUAUAAAGUAGUUGAAAUAGAGCCUGAUGUUCAAGCAUGGUAUCAUGAUAUAAAAAGAUUCUUGAAAGCAAAAGAAUAUCCGGAGCAAGCUGGUGGAGACCAAAAGAGAACCAUUAAAAGGCUUUCCAUUGGUUUCUUCUUGAGUGGAGAGGUCUUGUACAAAAGGACUCCAGAUUUGAACCUUCUAAGAUGUGUGGAUGCCCAAGAGGCCGGAAGGAUCAUGAAUGAAGUGCACACAUAUGAAUGGGUAUGUCCUGUCAAAGAAAAUCCUUUGAGAAGGAUAUUACUGGAUGACUAUGGAAAAGGAUUGCUUCAGUUUUGUCCGGAAUUAUCAUCAAUGUCAAGUGCACGGUGUCCUGAUUCAUGCACCACCUUCAGAACUGCAUCUUAUGUCAGAACCAUGGCCGAUUGUUACUUGGGGUAUGGAUGUCAUUGGGCCAAUCGAGCCAAAAGCUUCAAAAGGGCAUAGAUUCAUAUUGGUUGCCAUUGACUAGUUCACAAAAUAGGUUGGGGCAAUCACUUUCAAAGCCAUCACUAAGAAAGCAGUGGUAAUGUCGUGCACUCCAACAUCAUCUGCCAUUUUGGUAUUCCUAAAACUAUCAUUACGGAUAAUGCUACAAAUCUAAAUAGUCAUUUGAUGAGGGAUGUAUGUGAACAAUUUAAAAAUACACAUCGAAAUUCUACCCCUUAUCAGCCCAAAGCUAAUUGUAUUGUUGAAGCAGCAAACAAGAACAUCAAAAAAUUCUGAGGAAGAUGAUUCAAAGUUCUAGACAAUGGCAUAAAAAGUUGCCAUUUGCAUUGUUGGGAUAUCGCACAACUGUGGGCACAUCAGUUGGAGCAACACCAUAUCUAUUGGUUUAUGGCACUGAAGUCGUAAUACCCGUAGAAGUUGAAAUUCCAUCUUUCCGAAUCAUCGUUGAAGCCGAGGUUGAAGAUAGUGAGUGGGUCAAAACCCGUUUAGAAUAGUUGACUUUGAUUGAUGAAAAGCGGAUGGCCGAAAUUUGCCACGGGCGGUUGUAUCAACAAAUAAUGGCCCGUGCCUACAACAAGAAAGUGCGGCCUAGGAACUUUGAAGUGGGGCAACUUAUUUUGAGACUUAUUCUCCCGCAUCACGAAGAAGCAAAAGGAAAGUUCUCUCCAAACUGGAAAGGUCCAUACAUUAUAAGAAAAUUAUUGCCGAAAGAGGCAUUGCACUUGGGAGACAUUGAAGGAAAUGACCCUAAAACAGCUGUCAAUGUAGACGUGGUCAAAAGGUAUUACGUUUAACCCUUCUACGGUACCAAUAUUAUCCGAUUGGGAUGACGAAGGAUUUCAUUCUCGGUACCCAAAACACUUCAACCAUUUGCUAACCUUUUGAGCCGGUUACCUUUCUUUGAUCACCCUCUUUUGAACCCGAAAAUGUUUGUAAAAAAAAAAAGAAAAAGAAAAAUCAAAAAACAAAGUUUCCCUGAACUACAUUUGACUUGAUUUUGAAAGGAAAAGUAGGCAGCCUCUCUCUACGGUUCAGUCACACCAAAACAAAAAUCCACAUUUUCUCAAAGUUGAAACUGGGGCAGAAUUUAUUAUGAUUCGACGACAGUUCGCCUGAAAGGUUCCAAAUUCUAAUUCAAUCCAAUCUUUUACCCUAAACCCUGUUCAAAGUCCUUCUGAUCAAUUGGUAAAGAUGUUCAAAAUGGAAGGAUGUUGGAAUCCGAUACAAUCAAAUGAGAGAAAUAAAAUGAGAGAGUCUUAUCAGUGAAAACUCAUACGGGCACGGUAAGGCGAUGGUGAGCAGAGAAAUUGAAAAUGAGAGAGUCUUGUUAGUGAAAACUCACAAAGUCCACUAUAAGGCGACAGUGAGAAGAGAAAUGAGAGAGGUCAGUUGGUGAAAACCUUCAAAGGGUGCCAUUGAUCGAAAAAAAGGAAUUCCUUACAACCAUCGGCAUUGAUAGAGUCCUAGCAAGGUUUCUUGGUUUUGAGAUAAGAGUUAUGAUGGGUUUAUGAGAGAUUGGAUGGUUGCACGAUCGGGUAUCCAGUCCAAGAAGCAUGUCAUGUCUAUUGAAGUCUGCAUGCACUCUAGAUAAGUCCUUCUUCCCUUCCCCCAAAAGGGACACUUCUCAAUAAAUUCAUUAUCAUGUUCUUUGUUUACUUUUCUUUGAAGCCCUUUCGGUUUAACCCUCCUCCAAAACUAAUACAAAGAAAAGAUGGCAAGAUUGGUUUUACAGGGUUCUGCUUAAUAAAAGCCAAAAUUCAAGGAAAAUCACAUAGCCUCAGCAGGUGCAUCAAGUCGAUCUCGACUGGCCAUGAUGGUCGAUGCUCCAGAAUCAAAAUUAUUGAAAAGGAAAGAAAUCCAAAGUCAAGUGCGCAUAAAGGCAAAAUAAGAUGAAAAGGCCAAAGUUCCAUACGGGCUAACCGUCACGUAGAAUUUUGGAAAGUCAAGAUCCCUAGGUUCAUAAAGGAAACCGAUCUCCAGAAAGCGAGCGAGCAAUGGAGAUUUUCAUCAAAAGAGUUGAGUCGAGAUCAAGUGAUCAAAAUAAUCAAGACCACAAAAACCAACCACCGUUUCAAACUGACAAAUUGUUCUUUGAUUUGAAAACAGGAGAACAGGUGCAGUCCAAAACAAACCUGCAAGAAGUAGGUGGAAUAAAAGCAAGGCACGCAGAAACCAAAGUGGUUCUGCAGCAAAAGUUGACCCAAAAAGGGAAGUCCUUUUAAAAUCUUCAUUCAUUCUCCUAAAUAAAAUGAAAAGUGAAGUAAAAAAAAGGAGGAAGAAGAAAAGAAAGUAGAAAGCAAAGAAGAAAAAUUCAAAAUCAUGGUAGCCUAUGGUCCCCAAUCUCUAGCUGUGUUUUUUCAAACAUAGGGGUCCCAUUUCCUAGUCACUCCUAGCAUAACCUGGUAGUCUUUUCCAUUAUAGGGUUCCACUCCCUAGUUGAUUCCCGAGACAACCCUUGGACCUCCCCGGUAUAACCCGAGGACUUAUUUUUCUUUCCCGGCAUAACCCGAGGAUCUUUUUUCUUUUCUGACAUAACUCGAUGACUUUCCCGGCAUAACCCGUUGACCUCCCCGGCAUAAGACGAGGAUCUUUUUUCUUUCCCGACAUAACCUGAUGACUUUCCUGGCAUAAACCUUGUACCUCCCCGACAUAACCUGAGGACCUUUUUCUUUUUCGGAAUAACCCGAUGACUUUCCAAGCAUGACCCGUGGACCUCCCCGGCAUCCCCGAAGGACCUUUUUUUNNNNNNNNNNNNNNNNNNNNNNNNNNNNNNNNNNNNNNNNNNNNNNNNNNNNNNNNNAUGGCAUAAACCGAGAACCUUUUUUCCUUUUCCCGCAUAACCCGAUGACUUUUUCGGCAUAUCCCGUUGACCUCUUCGGCAUAACCCGAGGACCUUUUUUCUUUUCCGGCAUAACCCGAUGACUUUUCACGCAUAACCCGUGGACCUCCCCGACAUAAUUUGAGGACCUUUUUUCUUUUUUCGGCAAAACCCGAGGACCUUUUUCUUUUCCGGCAUAACUCGAGGACCAUUUUCUUUUCCAGCAUAACCCGUGGACCCCCCCGACAUAACCAGAGGAUCUUUUUCUUUUCCGGCAUAACCCGAUGACCUUCCCCGGUAUAAUCCGAGGACCUUUUUUCUUUUCUACCAUAACCAAAUUAACUUUCCCGGCAUAAUUCGAGGACCUUUUUCCUUUCCUGCAUAACCCAGUCAUUUCUCCAGCAUAACCUGGUAAUCUUCCCAACUUGGGGCCUCCGUUCCCAAUUUGAUAGCAUUCUAGAUAUAGGGUCUCCACUCCCUAAUCUCUUUUUCUCAGGGAUACACAAUCCCGAUUUUAAUUGCUUUUAAUAAAGAAAUAGUUUAGAUAUUUUUUAUAAUAACUCAUGAAAUUUUCCUAGUGAAAAUUGGGGCAGAAAAUUUUGUUCGUUUGUUUGCUUUGGUGUCUGAACAGGUUUUCACCGUGAGGCACAAGGUUUAAGAUGACCAAAAAAAUAAAUCUCAACCCAAACAAAAGAAAAGAAGAACAAGAAAAGAAGUUGAACUUUUAGUGUAGAAGCGUAGAAAAGAUGUGGACUGCUCAAGAUAUGAUUGAAGGCACAAGUUUUGCAUGUCCCGCUUUGAUCCGAAAAGUUGAAGAAGGAUGAACCAGCGGUUGCAGCUAACGAGCAUCAAGAUUCAGAUCAGAGUCUGCAGAAAGAACCAUCCAAGACUCAAAAUCAAGCUUUAGAAGGUUUAUGAAUCUUGUAACUCGUAGUUUAUAGACUUAGCUAGUUUAGCUUUUCAUCUUUUAUUUCGAUGUAAUAAGGAGCUCAGCAAGCAGAAACAGCAACAACAAUAGUGAAAUCACAGUUUACCCGGUAGUCCCAGCUACCAAAACUUCUAGAACUAUACUGACCUGAUUCCUUUAUAGCCAAGGAUAUGUAGGCAACCUCCGAAGCAAGGUUCGCCCAGAUUUUUUCAAAAGAUGCUUCUCAUGGAGUUUCAAACGGGCAAAAAUCGCUCAUAAUUGCUCAUUUUAUCUUUGCCCAAAAAUCCUUCGUAUUUCCUAGCAAAGAGGGGCAGUUGUGAGCAUGUGAUUUUUGCCCUAUACAAAUUACUCCUAUAAAAUCCAAGAAAAUAGAUUUUUUCCAAUUAUUUGCUAUUUUAUAGGAUUUUAGUAAUUGUUUGCAUUUUUGUGCACGUUUAAUUUUUAUUAAAAUCAUGAAAAUGUUAAAAAAUACCAUGCAUUGCAUUUAGAUUUUUGUUUUUAUAGUUUUAGGAUUAAUUAGUUAAUUAUUUAUUUUAUUAAAGUUGAAAAUCAGAAAAUGGCUCAUUUACAUUUUUUACCUUUUAAUUUUUAGAUUAUUGAUUUUUCUCUUUUAAUUUAGGAUCAAGUAAUUUUUAUAAUUAUUAAAAAUAGAUAAUUAGAUAUAUUUUACAAAUUAAGAUAAUUCAGUACUUAGUUUAAGGUUUAUUUAAAUUAAUUAGUCUUUAAAAAAAUUUUAAAAAAAAAGGAUUUUGGCCGAAUUGGGCCAUUUCUUUCUAAACUAGCCCAAUCCUAAUUUAACCCAAAACACCCCCAAACCCAAAUCCCUUUAAAACUCUGAUCCAACCCCCAUCUCCCUUCACUCAAUCUUGACCAUUGAUCUCUAGUUGAUCCAAUGAUUUGGAAUUCCACCCCUUUUUUAAUAAAAAAGUGUCAUAAAAUCUCCACCCCCCGCAUUUCCAAACUCCCCCGCUCUUCCACUUCUCUCUCAACUCCCCUGUCACGACCCCAAAUACCCGAUCGUGAUGACGUCUAUCACAUUACUAGGCAAGCCAACCCAAUAUUUAAUCACAGCCUUUUUAUUUUAUAAAACCAUUUUCUAACACGGGUUAAAUCUCAUUUUUCAUAAGAAAUGUAUAAAACAACUAAAAAUGUGCGGAAAUAAAUAAAACAGUAAACCAACACAGCCCAACAUCUAGUGUCACGAGUCUAGAGCCUCUAAAUAUACAACCGACUAUCUAAUACAUCAUAAGUCUAAAAUGCAGAAAAGAACUAGAUAGGAAGGAGGAAAGCAGGGCUGCUGACGCCAUGCAGCUACCUUACAGUCUCUGGCAAACUCUAAUAAUGCUAAGGACCCUCGCUCUGCCGCUAGGGCACCUGGAUUUGCACACAAGGUACAGGGAGUAACGUGAAUACGCCAACUCAGUAAGUAACUAAAGUAAAUAAGGUCUUAAAGCAGUGACGAGCAGUUAAAAUCAUAUAAAGGAGUAAACAACAAGAUAAUAGAUCAAACUCCACAGUUUAAAAAAUAGUUUCGUCAUAAAACUUCGGUUUCAAUUAGAAUACUUAAAAUCAUUUACUUGGCAAUUUUCAACAGAGGCUUAUUUAAAAGAAGAGUGAAAUCAGUAAAAAUAUCAUAAAAGGGCCCCUCGGGCAAGGUAUCUCUCCUAAAAAUGGCCUCUCAGGCAGCUUCUCAGUCAUUCGUGACUCAGCACUCAGGCUCAAUAAUAUCUCGUAAUAGUAAUAAUCAUAGUAACCAUUGCGCGUGCAGCCCGAUCCAUAGUUUAUAGUUGACUACGCUCACUGGGGGUGUACAAACUCCGGAGGGGCUCCUACAGCCCAAGCGUCAUAUCGCUGUGGCGCGCAACCCGAUCCAAUAUAUAUAUCGCUGCGGCAUGCAGCCCGAUCCAUAUAAGUAUUGUUGCGGCGUGCAGCCCGAUCCAUAAUAUAUAUAUGUAAUUCUCACCAUUAGGUCUUCAACCUCUCUCAGUCAUUAACCUCACAGUCACUCGAGCAUAACAAAAAAUUCAGGAAACUCAUUCCAAAUAGUCCUUACAUUUAAGAAGUAGAGUGAUAAAACUACUUGUAAACAAUAAAGAGGUAAAACAUAGCUGAGAAUAUACUUUCAAACAAAUAGAGUGGGGAAAAAAAGUAAAAAUGCCCCUAAGGGUCUCAACUGGUCGGCACGAGGCCCCAAACAUGGCAUACAACCCAUAAUACAAUGUAAGUGUCUAAAAUAUGAAAUAUUAUAAGAUUUCAAAUCAAAUACGCGACUUAAUAGUCGCUACGGGACGGACCAAGUCACAAUCCCUACCGGUGCACGCCCACACGCUCGUCACCUAGCAUGUGUGUCACCUCAUCUAACAAAAAUAAUUUGAAAUACCGGGGUUUGUACCCUCAGAUCCAGAUUUGCAAUGGUUACUUACCUCAAACCGAGUGAAAAUACUACUCUGUGACCCCUUUUCCUCUCGCCAUGGCUUCAACUCGCGCCGAAUCUACCCAAAAUCAGAAUCAUAACAUUAGAAUAGGCUAAUGGGACGAAACCCAUGCAAAAUAAAUCAAACUAUACCAAAAAUCCCGAUUGGCCAUACCCGACCCCCGGGCUCACGUCUCAAAACUUGAUAAAAAUCACACCAAAUGAAUCCUUAUCCUCCCACGAGUUCAUACAUACCAAGAAUACAAAAAUUCGACCACAAAUGGCCCCUCAAAUCCUCACUCAAAGGUCUCCAAUACCAAGCCCUAAUCCCUCAAUUUUCUUCCAUAAUUCACACUAAUACCAUGAUUAAAUAAUGGAAAAAUGAUCAUAAAACCAAAUAAUGAAUCUUAGGGAACUUACCCAAAUGAUUCCCUUCGAUUUUCCCUUGAAAUAACUGCCCUAGCUCGCUUCCCGUCUUUAAUAAUGGAGAACUUAGCAAAAUUUUGUGAAAGAAAUAAUAUAUACCUUCUGGCCUAGGUAUUCCGCACAUGCGGCCCUUUAACCGCUUCUACGGUCCCGCUUCUGCUGUCUUGACCACUGCACCUGCGGUCUCCACUUAAAAGUCCAAAGUCGCAUCUACGAUGCUAAAUCCACACAUGCGCCAUCGCAGGUGUCGCUCCUUGACCGCUUCUGCGAUUCUUGCCUUUCCUAGGCUCUUCCGCUUCUAUGACCAAUCUUCCGCAUUUGCGGCGUCCCACCUACGGUCCCCAAUCCGCAAGUGCGGAAACAACAUUACGACAAAAUCUACAGCUCUACCAAAGUCACUGUCAACCCUACGAAAUCAUCCCGAGGCCCCCAGGACCUCAACCAAAAACACAAACAUAUCCCAUAACCUUAUUUCAAACUUAUACCAAUAUACAAAACACCUCAAACAACAUCGAAUCAACCAAAACACAUCGGAUUCAAGCCUAUGUUUCAAAAAAAUUCCGAAUUACGCUUUUGAUCAAAAAGUAUACCAAACCACGUCCGAAUGACCUGAAAUUUUGCACACACAUCCCAAAUGAACCAACGGAACUACUGCAACUCCCGGAAUUCCAUUCCGCCCCCUAUAUCAAAAUCUCACCUAUCAACCCGAAAACGCCAAAAAUUCAAUUUCGCCAAUUCAAGCCUAAAUCUACUCCAGACCUCAAAAACACAUUCCGAUCACGCUCCUAAGUUCCAAAUCACCUCCCAAAGCUAUCCGAACCAUCAGAACUCACAUCCGAGACCUUUAACACAUAAAUCAACAUCCGGCUGACUUUUCCUACUUAAGCUUCCUCAAAAGAGACUAAGUGUCUGAAACCUUACCAAAUCCUUUCCGAACCCGAGCCAACCAACCCGAUCACAUAUAGAACCGAUAGACAAAGCAAUAAGAAGCAGAAAUGGGGAAAACGAAGCGGUAAUUCAUGAAUCGACCGGCCAGGUCGUUACAUCCCCAAACCCUAAAGCCCCCAACUCUCUCCCUUCUCUCUUCUCCAUUUCCGCCGCCACCCCUCCCCAUGGCGGCGCCGCCCGCCGGAAUUCUCCACCAGAGGUGGCCAACCUCCAAUAAAAACCCAAGAUAACUUCAUUCUUGUCCUCUUCUCCUCCUCUACCACACCCCACCAACGAAACCCAUAAAAAACCAAC